rnacentral:rRNA from 1 species
UACGUAGGGGGCGAGCGUUGUCCGGAUUUACUGGGCGUAAAGCGCGUGUAGGCGGUCCCUUAAGUCCGGGGUGAAAGGCGGAGGCUCAACCUCCGAGCUGCGCCGGAAACUGGGGGUCUUGAAUGUCGGAGAGGGGCGUGGAAUUCCUGGUGUAGCGGUGAAAUGCGUAGAGAUCAGGAGGAACACCAGUGGCGAAGGCGAGUCCCUGGACGAUACCUGACACUGAGGCACGAAAGCCGGGGGAGCAAACAGG